rnacentral:rRNA from 1 species
GAUGAACGCUGGCGGCGUGCCUAAUACAUGCAAGUCGAGCGAACAGACGAGGAGCUUGCUCCUCUGACGUUAGCGGCGGACGGGUGAGUAACACGUGGAUAACCUACCUAUAAGACUGGGAUAACUUCGGGAAACCGGAUCUAAUACCGGAUAAUAUAUUGAACCGCAUGGUUCAAUAGUGAAAGACGGUUUUGCUGUCACUUAUAGAUGGAUCCGCGCCGCAUUAGCUAGUUGGUAAGGUAACGGCUUACCAAGGCAACGAUGCGUAGCCGACCUGAGAGGGUGAUCGGCCACACUGGAACUGAGACACGGUCCAGACUCCUACGGGAGGCAGCAGUAGGGAAUCUUCGGCAAUGGGCGAAAGCCUGACGGAGCAACGCCGCGUGAGUGAUGAAGGUCUUCGGAUCGUAAAACUCUGUUAUUAGGGAAGAACAAAUGUGUAAGUAACUAUGCACGUCUUGACGGUACCUAAUCAGAAAGCCACGGCUAACUACGUG